rnacentral:rRNA from 1 species
UGCGUAGGCGGGCUAAUAAGUCAGUGGUGAAAUCUCUCGGCUCAACCGGGAAACUGCCAUUGAUACUGUUAGUCUUGAGUUCAGUUGAGGUAGGCGGAAUGUGUAAUGCAGCGGUGAAAUGCUUAGAUAUUACACAGAACACCAAUUGCGUAGGCAGCUUACUAGACCGACACUGACGCUGAGGCACGAAAGCGUGGGGAGCGAACAGGAUUAGAUACCCUGGUAGUCC